rnacentral:rRNA from 1 species
GGCUUCGGCCCGAGUUGUAAUUUGUAGAGGAUGCUUUUUGGCGCGGCACCUUCUCAGUCCCCUGGAACGGGGCGCCAUAGAGGGGUGAGAGCCCCGUAUAGUUGGAUGCCUAGCCUGUGUAAAGCUCCUUACAAACGAGUCGAGUAGUUUGGGAAUGCUGCUCAAAAUGGGAGGUAAAUUUCUUCCUAAAGCUAAAUACCGGCCAGAGACCGAUAGCGCACAAGUAGAGUGAUCGAAAGAUGAACAACGCACUUUGAAAAGAGGGUUAAAUAGCACGUGAAAUUGUUGAAAGGGAAGCGCUUGUGACCAGACUUGCGCCGGGCUGAUCAUCCGGUGUUCUCACCGGUGCACUCUGCCCGGCUCAGGCCAGCAUCGGUUCUCGCGGGGGGAUAGACAGGCACACGGGAAUCGUAGCUCCUCCGGGAGUGUUAUAGCCCGGUGGCGUAAUC